rnacentral:rRNA from 1 species
CCCUUAGAUGUCCUGGGCUGCACGCGCGCUACACUGGAAGUUACGGAUUGAGACACUACCUUGUCCGAAAUGGUCCGGGUAAUCACCUAAAAGCUUGUCAUAAUUGGAAUGGAUUAUUGUAACUAGUAAUCCUGAACGAGGAAUUCCUAGUAAGUCCCAGUCAACAGCUGGUACUGAUUACGUCCCUGCCCUUUGUACACACCGCCCGUCGCUACUACUGAUUGGACGUUUAAGCAAGAUUUUUAAACACUGACAGUGUGUAGUUCACGCUAUACUACAGUGAGAAGAAGAAGAUCGAGCUUACUUGUCUAGAGGAAGUAAAAGUCGUAACA